rnacentral:lncRNA from 1 species
GCACACUCGCACUGAGCUAGUGGUUACUAAAACCGUUACAACAAUAUUGCCAGCUCAGCAUAACCAACUUAUAACUAACACACUCAGCUGCAGGGGAAACCAUCAAGCUUACUGCGCAUCCUCUGUAAUCAAGCUUCUUUAAGCAUGCUCUGCAGAUCAUAUUUUUGUGGGUCUUACAUUAUCCAAAAAAAUAACUCGUCCAUCUAGUAACUGCAAGUACAUACUGUGAGAUGCUUAAACUCAACAAUAUAAGCAUGGUAAAUUAGAGAAAAAUGAUGCAAAUUAGAUACACCUGCACAGAAUGCCAGUUAAUUUGGUCAUAAUUAGAUAACAAGAUUGCAAAUUCUGCAGCCAAAGGUAGAACGCAACUAAGGAAAUCAAAUAUGAACAUGUCUUCAAUCUCAAAAUAUUAAGAGUAGCAUAAGUAACUUGUGAAACAGUUAUAAGUUCAAAGGAAUUAGAUGAUGGCAUGGUUGAAUUUAUAAAUAUUUGAUAUUUUGGACCGAACAGGGCAAACAGAUGGAUCCAGAUAAUUAAGAAAAAAUAUCAAUUCCAUGCAACCAAAUUAGUGUGUACAAUGCAAUUGCCUUUCCCUAUGAGAGUAGAGAGCCUAAAUACAAGCAAAAACCUACUAAUGCAUCUGCAGAAGCUCACAUUCACUAGCUGCAUGAUUAAAUCACUGGAUGGUCUCGCUAUGCGGUGAAGAAUGAAAUAAUUAACGACCUGAUAAGGCUGCAACGUGAAGAAACUAUUCACCAGAAAAAGUUCAAAAUCAAAUCAACGUGGUUUUGAUUUUGGAAAAAAUGAAACAAUACGUAGUGAAUGAAUCUGCUCGUAACUAUGCAAGACACAAUCACUUCCCAGGAUCUCAGAUAUAGAUUUACCAAGUUGCACAGAUUGAAGAACGAAUCCAGAAAGAAUCAAUUUAACACAAGAAUUAAGAGAACUGAAAAGAAUAGAAACAAACACAGACAACACAAGAAUCAAUUACGUGGUUCGGUUGCACCAAGGAGGCACAACCUACAUCCACCACGGGAGAUGCUUUGGAGAGCUUUUAUUGAAUAACAAUGGAGGAUCUUUUACAGGGCUUUUACUUAAGAUUACAGAGAACUCAUCUUUCACAUUCUCUGAUAUCUCUCUCUCUCUCUUAACACGGUUACACACACGCUCAGCUCACAAACUGAACUACAAGAGCAAUUAGCUAAAUCUAGAUUGCACAGCUUGUUGACACGUUGAGUAACAGACUUAAUGAACUGAAUCAAGUUGCCUCGCACGGCUAUCACGUGCAUCACUUAAAGCUUUCCCUUAAACGACACAGAAGAACUGCCGUUUCAAACUUAAGAAACAAGUGAUUACACACGUGCUUGAGCCCGUGACUUUUAAGUGCUCUUAUCUUAUAUUGCCAAAACGCUGCCGUUUAGAGCUGAUGAGUUUGAUCCACCAGCAAGCCUCACACAAUAUCACUUGAGCAACA